rnacentral:tRNA from 1 species
GCGGAUGUGGCGAAAUUGGCAGACGCACUAGACUUAGGAUCUAGCGCCGCGAGGCGUGUGGGUUCGACCCCCUCCAUCCGCACCA